rnacentral:tRNA from 1 species
UUCCUGGUGGUCCAGUGGCUAGGACUCUGCACUCCCAAUGCAGGGAGCCCAGGUUCAAUCCCUGGUCAGAGAA